rnacentral:tRNA from 1 species
GGGCGCGUCGCAUAGCGGCAAUUGCACUAGACUGUAAAUCUAGCGGCUCCGGCCUACGCAGGUUCGAGUCCUGCCGCGCCCACCA